rnacentral:rRNA from 1 species
GACGAACGCUGGCGGCGUGCUUAACACAUGCCAGUCGAACGCUGAAGCUCAGCUUGCUGGGUGGAUGAGUGGCGAACGGGUGAGUAACACGUGAGUAACCUGCCCCCUUCUUUGGGAUAACGCCCGGAAACGGGUGCUAAUACUGGAUAUUCACUGAUCUUCGCAUGGGGGUUGGUGGAAAGGUUUUUUCUGGUGGGGGAUGGGCUCGCGGCCUAUCAGCUUGUUGGUGGGGUGAUGGCCUACCAAGGCUUUGACGGGUAGCCGGCCUGAGAGGGUGACCGGUCACAUUGGGACUGAGAUACGGCCCAGACUCCUACGGGAGGCAGCAGUGGGGAAUAUUGCACAAUGGGCGAAAGCCUGAUGCAGCGACGCCGCGUGAGGGAUGGAGGCCUUCGGGUUGUAAACCUCUUUCGCUCAUGGUCAAGCCGCAACAGUGGUUGUGGUGAGGGUAGUGGGUAAAGAAGCGCCGGCUAACUACGUG